rnacentral:rRNA from 1 species
CUAGCCGUAAACGAUGGAUACUAGGCGUUGUGGGUAUCGACCCUCACAGUGUCGUAGCUAACGCGUUAAGUAUCCCGCCUGGGGAGUACGCGCGCAAGCGUGAAACUCAAAGGAAUUGACGGGGGCCCGCACAAGCGGUGGAGUAUGUGGUUUAAUUCGAUGCAACGCGAAGAACCUUACCAGGACUUGACAUGUCGCGAAUCUCAGGGAAACUUGAGAGUGCCUUCGGGAGCGCGAACACAGGUGGUGC